UGUGAACUCGAAGAGUAGGGCGGGACACGUGGUAUCCUGUCUGAAUAUGGGGGGACCAUCCUCCAAGGCUAAAUACUCCUGACUGACCGAUAGUGAACCAGUACCGUGAGGGAAAGGCGAAAAGAACCCCGGCGAGGGGAGUGAAAAAGAACCUGAAACCGUGUACGUACAAGCAGUGGGAGCACCUUCGGGUGUGACUGCGUACCUUUUGUAUAAUGGGUCAGCGACUUAUAUUCUGUAGCAAGGUUAACCGUAUAGGGGAGCCGCAGGGAAACCGAGUCUUAACUGGGCGUUAAGUUGCAGGGUAUAGACCCGAAACCCGGUGAUCUAGCCAUGGGCAGGUUGAAGGUUGGGUAACACUAACUGGAGGACCGAACCGACUAAUGUUGAAAAAUUAGCGGAUGACUUGUGGCUGGGGGUGAAAGGCCAAUCAAACCGGGAGAUAGCUGGUUCUCCCCGAAAGCUAUUUAGGUAGCGCCUCGUGAACUCAUCUUCGGGGGUAGAGCACUGUUUCGGCUAGGGGGUCAUCCCGACUUACCAACCCGAUGCAAACUACGAAUACCGAAGAAUGUUAUCACGGGAGACACACGGCGGGUGCUAACGUCCGUCGUGAAGAGGGAAACAACCCAGACCGCCAGCUAAGGUCCCAAAGUCAUGGUUAAGUGGGAAACGAUGUGGGAAGGCACAGACAGCCAGGAUGUUGGCUUAGAAGCAGCCAUCAUUUAAAGAAAGCGUAAUAGCUCACUGGUCGAGUCGGCCUGCGCGGAAGAUGUAACGGGGCUAAACCAUGCACCGAAGCUGCGGCAGCGACACUAUGUGUUGUUGGGUAGGGGAGCGUUCUGUAAGCCUGCGAAGGUGUGCUGUGAGGCAUGCUGGAGGUAUCAGAAGUGCGAAUGCUGACAUAAGUAACGAUAAAGCGGGUGAAAAGCCCGCUCGCCGGAAGACCAAGGGUUCCUGUCCAACGUUAAUCGGGGCAGGGUGAGUCGACCCCUAAGGCGAGGCCGAAAGGCGUAGUCGAUGGGAAACAGGUUAAUAUUCCUGUACUUGGUGUUACUGCGAAGGGGGGACGGAGAAGGCUAUGUUAGCCGGGCGACGGUUGUCCCGGUUUAAGCAUGUAGGCUGAUUGUCCAGGCAAAUCCGGAUAAUCAAGGCUGAGGUGUGAUGACGAGGCACUACGGUGCUGAAGUAACAAAUGCCCUGCUUCCAGGAAAAGCCUCUAAGCAUCAGGUAACAUCAAAUCGUACCCCAAACCGACACAGGUGGUCAGGUAGAGAAUACCAAGGCGCUUGAGAGAACUCGGGUGAAGGAACUAGGCAAAAUGGUGCCGUAACUUCGGGAGAAGGCACGCUGGUGUGUAGGUGAAGUCCCUGCGGAUGGAGCUGAGACCAGUCGAAGAUACCAGCUGGCUGCAACUGUUUAUUAAAAACACAGCACUGUGCAAACACGAAAGUGGACGUAUACGGUGUGACGCCUGCCCGGUGCCGGAAGGUUAAUUGAUGGGGUUAUCCGUAAGGAGAAGCUCUUGAUCGAAGCCCCGGUAAACGGCGGCCGUAACUAUAACGGUCCUAAGGUAGCGAAAUUCCUUGUCGGGUAAGUUCCGACCUGCACGAAUGGCGUAAUGAUGGCCAGGCUGUCUCCACCCGAGACUCAGUGAAAUUGAACUCGCUGUGAAGAUGCAGUGUACCCGCGGCAAGACGGAAAGACCCCGUGAACCUUUACUAUAGCUUGACACUGAACAUUGAGCCUUGAUGUGUAGGAUAGGUGGGAGGCUUUGAAGCGUGGACGCCAGUCUGCGUGGAGCCAACCUUGAAAUACCACCCUUUAAUGUUUGAUGUUCUAACGUUGGCCCCUGACCGGGGUUGCGGACAGUGUCUGGUGGGUAGUUUGACUGGGGCGGUCUCCUCCCAAAGCGUAACGGAGGAGCACGAAGGUUAGCUAAUCCUGGUCGGACAUCAGGAGGUUAGUGCAAUGGCAUAAGCUAGCUUGACUGCGAGCGUGACGGCGCGAGCAGGUGCGAAAGCAGGUCAUAGUGAUCCGGUGGUUCUGAAUGGAAGGGCCAUCGCUCAACGGAUAAAAGGUACUCCGGGGAUAACAGGCUGAUACCGCCCAAGAGUUCAUAUCGACGGCGGUGUUUGGCACCUCGAUGUCGGCUCAUCACAUCCUGGGGCUGAAGUAGGUCCCAAGGGUAUGGCUGUUCGCCAUUUAAAGUGGUACGCGAGCUGGGUUUAGAACGUCGUGAGACAGUUCGGUCCCUAUCUGCCGUGGGCGCUGGAGAAUUGAGGGGGGCUGCUCCUAGUACGAGAGGACCGGAGUGGACGCAUCACUGGUGUUCGGGUUGUCAUGCCAAUGGCACUGCCCGGUAGCUAAAUGCGGAAGAGAUAAGUGCUGAAAGCAUCUAAGCACGAAACUUGCCCCGAGAUGAGUUCUCCCUGAGACUUUAAGUCUCCUGAAGGAACGUUAAAGACGAUGACGUUGAUAGGCCGGGUGUGUAAGCGCAGCGAUGCGUUGAGCUAACCGGUACUAAUGAACCGUGAGGCUUAACCUU
rnacentral:rRNA from 2 species